AAAGUAGUGCCGGAGUAGUUCGCAUUCACCGUUCACCCACUCGUUGAAGCUCUGAAGCUAGCCAUCUAAUUAUGAUUAUCUUUUUCCCCUCUUGUCAAUUCCUGAACACAGAAAAAAGAUUGACAAUUCUUAUGGAUUCUGGCAGCAAAAAUAUUAGAAGGGCAUGGAUUAUAGGAAGUCGUGGGGGUGAAGACAGAAUUGAUGUAGGAUAUAAUAUUUUAGUUUUUUAUAGAGUAUUAGUAGUAAAUUCUAAGUGGUCUCAUGCUUAUUUUAAUAUGACUAUGCUUAAUUUAGUGUGAGAUGUAUGAAUAUUAGUACUUUUGGAUCAUUAUAAAUUUAUUUUAUUUAUAGAUAAUUUUUAUUAU